UGAUAGCUAUGAAGCGUGAGGUUGCUGCCCAAGCUGACGUAAGCAGCCUAUGGCAGGUUUUUCCGUGGAGCGAAUGUCAAGUUAGGAAACUGGCGACAA
rnacentral:ncRNA from 1 species